CCUACGGGCGGCAGCAGUGAGGAAUAGUGGUCAAUGGGCGCGAGCCUGAACCAGCCAAGUAGCGUGAAGGAUGACUGCCCUACGGGUUGUAAACUUCUUUUAUAAAGGAAUAAAGUGAGGCACGUGUGCCUUGUUGUAUGUACGUUAUGAAUAAGGAUCGGCUAACUCCGUGCCAGCAGCCGCGGUAAUACGGAGGAUCCGAGCGUUAUCCGGAUUUAUUGGGGUUAAAGGGAGCGUAGAUGGGUUGUUAAGUCCGUGGUGACAGUUUGCGGCUCAACCGUAAAAUUGCAAUUGAUACUGGCAGUCUUGUGUACAGUUGCGGUCGGCGGAAUUCGUUGUGUAGCGG
rnacentral:rRNA from 1 species